rnacentral:rRNA from 1 species
UACAGAGGUCUCAAGCGUUGUUCGGAUUCAUUGGGCGUAAAGGGCGCGUAGGCGGUGCGGUAAGUCACCUGUGAAAUCUCCUGGCUCAACUGGGAGCUUGCAGGCGAAACUGCCGUGCUGGAGUGUGGGAGAGGUGCGUGGAGUUCCUGGUGUAGCGGUGAAAUGCGUAGAUAUCAGGAGGAGCACCUGUGGCGAAAGCGGCGCACUGGACCACAACUGACGCUGAGGCGCGAAAGCUAGGGGAGCAAACAGG